GGGAAUAUUGCUUAGUGGUAGAGUGCUUGCCUAGCAUGCAUGAAGCCCUGGGUUCGAUUCCUCAGUACCA
rnacentral:tRNA from 1 species